rnacentral:piRNA from 1 species
UGAUCACUGUGGUUGUUAGAUAUUGGUAGU